rnacentral:rRNA from 1 species
GAUGAACGCUGGCGGCGUGCCUAAUACAUGCAAGUCGAGCGAACAGACGAGGAGCUUGCUCCUCUGACGUUAGCGGCGGACGGGUGAGUAACACGUGGAUAACCUACCUAUAAGACUGGGAUAACUUCGGGAAACCGGAGCUAAUACCGGAUAAUAUAUUGAACCGCAUGGUUCAAUAGUAAAGACGGUUUUUGCGUCCCCUUUCAGUUGAUCCGCGCCGCAUUAGCUAGUUUGUAAGGUAACGGCUUACCAAGGCAACGAUGCGUAGCCGACCUGAGAGGAGGAUCGGCCACACUGGAACUGAGACACGGUCCAGACUCCUACGGGAGGCAGCAGUAGGGAAUCUUCCGCAAUGGGCGAAAGCCUGACGGAGCAACGCCGCGUGAGUGAUGAAGGUCUUCGGAUCGUAAAACUCUGUUAUUAGGGAAGAACAAAUGUGUAAGUAACUAUGCACGUCUUGACGGUACCUAAUCAGAAAGCCACGGCUAACUACGUG